GGGAUAAUGAAGUAGAAUGUCCCUUCAUCUAGAAUGCGUUCCGUCUUGUCAUGUCCACAUCGUACAAAGGAAGUUAUACCUGCACUUAGAAUCCAUGAACACUUGAGUUUCAGAUGCUUUCUGUGGCCAAAGAGGCAAAACUAAGGAUUAGGAGUCAGAAUAGAAAACGACCUCACAGAUGCCAAUGACAGAGAAUACAGGCAACGGAGAACAGAACCACUAGACUGGCAGGUCCGAGAGCAUCCAUUUGGUGAACUGACUAAAGGUCUCCUUUCUCUCAGACACAACUACUGUCUCCAUCUCUGGAAGAUGCCCAAAGUGAAAUCAAACAUCCUAAUCAUGAGCUCCAACAUGAAACACGCACGGAGAACUUCAUGACUUUCUGAUGGAUGAGUAUAUUGUCUUUUGUGCAGCAGACUGACUCUUUCUCCUCAUGUACCGUAUUAUGUUACUCUGGAUUUUUAAGAUAGGCUAAAAGUUGUCAUUCAUAAUCAC
rnacentral:lncRNA from 1 species